AUUUCCAUAUGUGCAAAAACUGAGAAAUUCUUCCUUGUAAGUAUAUAUCCUUUCUGUUUUGGGAAACUUCGUAGUUCUCGCUUUUCCUUUCUGGGUAUUCAAUUUCUUCCCUCCAUUUUUCACUGGUGUUGGCGAAAGAGAGAGAGAUCAGAAAAUGGUUAGGGGAAAAACCCAGAUGAAGAGAAUAGAAAAUGCUACAAGCAGGCAAGUAACCUUCUCUAAGAGAAGAAAUGGAUUGCUCAAGAAGGCCUUUGAGUUGUCAGUCCUCUGCGAUGCUGAAGUUGCACUCAUCAUCUUCUCCCCGAGAGGAAAGCUUUAUGAGUUUUCA
rnacentral:lncRNA from 1 species